rnacentral:sRNA from 1 species
GAAUAAGGAAGAACGACUAAGAGCGCCACGUCUUGUGGCAACGUCGUUCUGACCCACAUCGUGUGGG